GACGAACGCUGGCGGCGUGCUUAACACAUGCAAGUCGAACGGAAAGGCCCUGCUUGCAGGGUACUCGAGUGGCGAACGGGUGAGUAACACGUGGGUGAUCUGCCCUGCACUUCGGGAUAAGCCUGGGAAACUGGGUCUAAUACCGGAUAGGAGCCAUUUUUAGUGUGAUGGUUGGAAAGUUUUUUCGGUGUAGGAUGAGCUCGCGGCCUAUCAGCUUGUUGGUGGGGUAAUGGCCUACCAAGGCGGCGACGGGUAGCCGGCCUGAGAGGGUGGACGGCCACAUUGGGACUGAGAUACGGCCCAGACUCCUACGGGAGGCAGCAGUGGGGAAUAUUGCACAAUGGGCGCAAGCCUGAUGCAGCGAUGCCGCGUGGGGGAUGACGGCCUUCGGGUUGUAAACUCCUUUCGCUAGGGACGAAGCUUUUGUGACGGUACCUAGAGAAGAAGCACCGGCUAACUACGUG
rnacentral:rRNA from 1 species